rnacentral:rRNA from 1 species
AUACAGAGGGUGCGAGCGUUAAUCGGAAUUGCUGGGCGUAAAGCGCGCGUAGGCGGCUUAUUAAGUCAGAUGUGAAAUCCCCGGGCUCAACCUGGGAACUGCAUCUGAUACUGGUAAGCUAGAGUUUGGGAGAGGGAAGUAGAAUUUCAGGUGUAGCGGUGAAAUGCAUAGAGAUCUGAAGGAAUACCAGUGGCGAAGGCGACUUCCUGGCCUAAAACUGACGCUGAGGUGCGAAAGCGUGGGUAGCAAACGGGAUUAGAUACCCCAGUAGUCC